GACAGAGGUGCCAAGCGUUAGGCGGAAUCACUGGGCUUAAAGCGUGUGUAGGCGGAUGUCUAAGUACCUUGUGAAAUCCCACGGCUCAACCGUGGAACUGCUUGGUAUACUGGAUGUCUUGAGCCAUCUAGGGGCUACCGGAACAAAUGGUGGAGCGGUGAAAUGCGUAGAUAUCGGGAGGAACACCUGUGGCGAAAGCGGCGCACUGGACCACAUCUGACGCUGAGGCGCGAAAGCUAGGGGAGCAAACAGG
rnacentral:rRNA from 1 species